CACGUAGGGCGCGAGCGUUGUCCGGAAUUAUUGGGCGUAAAGAGCUCGUAGGCGGCCUGUUGCGUCCGCUGUGAAAGCCCGGGGCUUAACCCCGGGUCGGCAGUGGAUACGGGCAGGCUAGAGGUAGGUAGGGGAGAAUGGAAUUCCUGGUGUAGCGGUGGAAUGCGCAGAUAUCAGGAGGAACACCGAUGGCGAAGGCAGAUCUCUGGGCCGUAACUGACGCUGAGGAGCGAAAGCAUGGGGAGCGAACAGG
rnacentral:rRNA from 1 species